GUCCACGCCCUUGUGUGUUUCUUUUGCUUAAAGUUUGCCACCUGAAGCCAGCCUCUCUUGCCCAUCUUCCUCAGUUUCAGAGGGUAGAUAUUUCAGGGUUGCUUUUUCCCCAGGUCUCCACGCCUUUGGGUUUUGUUUUUGCUUAACGAUUGCCACCUGAGGUAGCCUCUGUUGCCCAUCUUCCUCAGUUUCAGAGGGUGGAUUUCUCCGUGUUGCUUUUUCCCCAGGUCUCCACGCCCUUGUGUGUUUCUUUUGCUUAAAGAUUGUCACCUGAGCUAGGCACUGUUGCCCUGCUUCCUCAGUUUCAGAGGGUACCUUUUUCAGGGUUGCUUUUUGACCGGGUCUCCUCGCCAUUGUAUUUUUUUAUUUUAUUUUUUUUGCUUAAAGAUUGCCACCUGAGCUAGCCUCUGUUGCGCUUCUUUCUCAGUUCUAGAGGGUAGAUUUCUCCGUGUUGCUUUUUCCCCAGGUCUCCACGCCUUUGGGUUUUUUUUUGCUUAACGAUUGCCACCUGAGCUAGCCUCUCUUGCCCAUCUUCCUCAGUUUCAGAGGGUGGAUUUCUCCGUGUUGCUUUUUCCCCAGGUCUCCACGCCCUUGUGUGUUUCUUUUGCUUAACGAUUGCCACCUGAGGUAGCCUCUGUUGCCCAUCUUCCUCAGUUUCAGAGGGUUGAUAUUUCAGGGUUGCUUUUUCCCCAGGUCUCCACGCCCUUGUGUGUUUCUUUUGCUUAACGAUUGCCACCUGAGGUAGCCUCUGUUGCCCAUCUUCCUCAGUUUCAGAGGGUGGAUUUCUCCGUGUUGCUUUUUCCCCAGGUCUCCACGCCCUUGUGUGUUUCUUUUGCUUAAAGAUUGCCACCUGAGCUAGCCUCUGUUGCCCAUCUUCGUCCGUUUCAGAGGGUGGAUUUCUCAGUGUUGCCUUUUCGCCAGCUCCCCACGCCCUUGUGUGUUUCUUUUGCUUAAAGAUUGUCACCUGAGCUAGGCACUGUUGCCCUGCUUCCUCAGUUUCAGAGGGUACCUUUUUCAGGGUUGCUUUUUGACCGGGUCUCCUCGCCAUUGUAUUUUUUAUCUUAUAUUUUUUGCUUAAAGAUUGCCACCUGAGCUAGCCUCUGUUGCCCAUCUUCGUCAGUUUCAGAGGGUGGAUUUCUCAGUGUUGCUUUUUCCCCAGGUCUCCACGCCCUUGCGUCUUUUUUUUUUCUGCUUAAAGGUUGCAACCUGAGCUAGCUUCUUUUGCCCAUGUUCCUCAGUUUCAGAGGGUGGAUUUCUCCGUGUUGCUUUUUCCCCAGGCCUCCACGCCCUUGUGUGUUUCUUUUGCUUAACGAUUGCCACCUGAGGUAGCCUCUGUUGCCCAUCUUCGUCCGUUUCAGAGGGUGGAUUUCUCAGUGUUGCCUUUUCCCCAGCUCCCCACGCCCUUGUGUGUUUCUUUUGCUUAAAGAUUGCCACCUGAAGCCAGCCUCUCUUGCCCAUCUUCCUCAGUUUCAGAGGGUAGAUAUUUCAGGGUUGCUUUUUCCCCAGGUCUCCACGCCUUUGGGUUUUGUUUUUGCUUAACGAUUGCCACCUGAGCUAGCCUCUCUUGCCCAUCUUCCUGAGUUUCAGAGGGUCGAUAUCUCCGUGUUGCUGUUUCCCCAGGUCUCCACGCCCUUGUGUGUUUCUUUUGCUUAACGAUUGCCACCUGAGGUAGCCUCUGUUGCCCAUCCUCGUCAGUUUCAGAGGGUAGAUUUCUCAGUGCUGCUUUUUCCCCAGGUCUCCACGCCCUUGUGUGUUUCUUUUGCUUAAAGUUUGCCACCUGAAGCCAGCCUCUCUUGCCCAUCUUCCUCAGUUUCAGAGGGUGGAUUUCUCAGUGUUGCUUUUUCCCCAGGUCUCCACGCCCUUGUGUGUUUCUUUUGCUUAAAGAUUGCCACCUGAGCUAGCCUCUGUUGCCCAUCUUCGUCAGUUUCAGAGGGUGGAUUUCUCAGUGUUGCCUUUUCGCCAGCUCCCCACGCCCUUGUGUGUUUCUUUUGCUUAAAGAUUGUCACCUGAGCUAGGCACUGUUGCCCUGCUUCCUCAGUUUCAGAGGGUACCUUUUUCAGGGUUGCUUUUUGACCGGGUCUCCUCGCCAUUGUAUUUUUUUAUUUUAUUUUUUUUGCUUAAAGAUUGCCACCUGAGCUAGCCUCUGUUGCCCAUCUUCGUCCGUUUCAGAGGGUGGAUUUCUCAGUGUUGCCUUUUCGCCAGCUCCCCACGCCCUUGUGUCUUUUUUUUUUGCUUAAAGGUUGCAACCUGAGCUAGCUUCUUUUGCCCAUGUUCCUCAGUUUCAGAGGGUGGAUUUCUCCGUGUUGCUUUUUCCCCAGGUCUCCACACCCUUGUGUGUUUCUUUUGCUUAACGAUUGCCACCUGAGGUAGCCUCUGUUGCCCAUCUUCCUCAGUUUCAGAGGGUGGAUUUCUCAGUGUUGCUUUUCCCCAGGUCUCCACGCCCUUGUGUGUUUCUUUUGUUUAAAGUUUGCCACCUGAAGCCAGCCUCUCUUGCCCAUCUUCCUCAGUUUCAGAGGGUAGAUAUUUCAGGGUUGCUUUUUCCCCAGGUCUCCACGCCUUUGGGUUUUGUUUUUGCUUAACGAUUGCCACCUGAGCUAGCCUCUGUUGCCCAUCUUCCUCAGUUUCAGAGGGUGGAUUUCUCCGUGUUGCUUUUUCCCCAGGUCUCCACGCCCUUGUGUGUUUCUUUUGCUUAAAGAUUGCCACCUGAGCUAGCCUCUGUUGCCCAUCUUCCUCAGUUUCAGAGGGUACCUUUUUCAGGGUUGCUUUUUGACCGGGUCUCCUCGCCAUUGUAUUUUUUUAUUUUAUUUUUUUUGCUUAAAGAUUGCCACCUGAGCUAGCCUCUGUUGCCCAUCUUCGUCAGUUUCAGAGGGUGGAUUUCUCCGUGUUGCUUUUUCCCCAGGUCUCCACACCCUUGUGUGUUUCUUUGGCUUAACGAUUGCCACCUGAGGUAGCCUCUGUUGCCCAUCUUCCUCAGUUUCAGAGGGUGGAUUUCUGAAUGUUGCUUUUUCCCCAGGUCUCCACGCCCUUGUGUGUUUCUUUUGCUUAACGAUUGCCACCUGAAGCCAGCCUCUCUUGCCCAUCUUCCUCAGUUUCAGAGGGUAGAUAUUUCAGGGUUGCUUUUUCCCCAGGUCUCCACGCCUUUGUGCUUUGUUUUUGCUUAACGAUUGCCACCUGAGGUAGCCUCUCUUGCCCAUCUUCCUCAGUUUCAGAGGGUGGAUUUCUCCGUGUUGCUUUUUCCCCAGGUCUCCACGCCCUUGUGUGUUUCUUUUGCUUAAAGAUUGCCACCUGAGCUAGCCUCUGUUGCCCAUCUUCGUCCGUUUCAGAGGGUGGAUUUCUCAGUGUUGCCUUUUCGCCAGCUCCCCACGCCCUUGUGUGUUUCUUUUGCUUAAAGAUUGUCACCUGAGCUAGGCACUGUUGCCCUGCUUCCUCAGUUUCAGAGGGUACCUUUUUCAGGGUUGCUUUUUGACCGGGUCUCCUCGCCAUUGUAUUUUUUAUUUUAUUUUUUUUUUUGCUUAAAGAUUGCCACCUGAGCUAGCCUCUGUUGCCCAUCUUCCUCAGUUCUAGAGGGUAGAUUUCUCCGUGUUGCUUUUUCCCCAGGUCUCCCCGCCCUUGUGUGUUUCUUUUGCUUAAAGAUUGCCACCUGAGGUAGCCUCUGUUGCCCAUCUUCGUCAGUUUCAGAGGGUAGAUUUCUCACUGUUGCUUUUUGCCAGGUCUGCACGCCCUUGUGUUUUGUUUUUGCUUAACGAUUGCCACCUGAGCUAGCCUCUCUUGCCCAUCUUCCUCAGUUUCAGAGGGUGGAUUUCUCCGUGUUGCUUUUUCCCCAGGUCUCCACGCCCUUGUGUGUUUCUUUUGCUUAACGAUUGCCACCUGAGCUAGCCUCUGUUGCCCAUCUUCGUCAGUUUCAGAGGGUAGAUUUCUCAGUGUUGCUUUUUCCCCAGGUCUGCACGCCCUUGUGUUUUGUUUUUGCUUAACUAUUGCCACCUGAGCUAGCCUCUGUUGCCCAUCUUCCUCAGUUUCAGAGGGUGGAUUUCUCAGUGUUGCUUUUUCCCCAGGUCUCCACGCCCUUGUGUGUUUCUUUUGCUUAAAGAUUGUCACCUGAGCUAGGCACUGUUGCCUGCUUCCU
ensembl:lncRNA